CCAAAGGAUUUAAUCAAAUCCACAUGAUAGACUACGAUGAGACUUUU
rfam:Picea glauca, whole genome shotgun sequence.